UUUAAGCCAAAGCAGGCAGGGCUGCAAGGAGAUGCAUUCCAGGAACGGCUGCUCCCUGCCAGGCUCUGGGUUUUCCUUCCCGUUACACACUAAGGAGGAAUGUGCAGAGCUGCUUGCCGGCCCACCGCUGCCUGGGGGGCUGCAGCUAACUUCGAAAUGCCGUGCAAAGAGGCCAGAGGUUUUCAUAGCCAUCUAAGUUACUGUCAUCACAACAUACACUGAGGGCACCGCUGAACAGUUAACCCAGCCUUGUAGAAAAGGUCUCCAACCUAACAGCAGCAGUUGUGAAGGAAGGAACUCACCUCAGUGAAGUCUGAACUCCAGGGCUUAAGUUUACUAUUUCUCCCGAGCAACAGUUUUCUCUACCCAGCAUCUACAAAGGUAAAGCCAUUGCAGCUACAGAUGUCCCCAUGAUCAAAGCCUGAAACAAGAGUUCUCAGCUCCAGGGUGUACUCUGGCCUCCUACAAAGAGAGGCCAGCAAAACCCAGCCACCUCCCUCAAAGCUCUUACUCGUCUGUUUUCCUUUUAAACCACCGGCUACCAUUUUCUAGAGAGACCUGCAGCUCAUGCAUUGGUCCCAGCACAUAGGGCUGGAUUAACACAGGGGCUUUAGGGGCUGCAGUCCAGAGCCUCGGGCUAAGGGAGCCCCCACAAACAUAAAUCCAUAAUUAUAAACAAUUACAGUGGUCACAAACCCGUCGUUUGCGAUCGCCUUGUCGAUCCUGGAGCUUCUGCCGGUUGAUCGCAAUCUCUGGGACGCUAAAAGUCCAGUGGCACAGCAGGGCUCAGACAGGCUGCCUGCAUGCCGUGUUCUCACUCCGCAUCCGGAAGCGGCCAGCUGCUGGCACGUCUCUGUGGCCCCUGGGG